rnacentral:miRNA from 1 species
GGGGCCGGCUGCCCUGAGCUGGGUUUUGAUCUUUGGUUUCCUAGCUGUGUGAGUAUUUCUGAAUCAUAAAGCUGGAGAACCGAAUGUGGAAACCAGCUGCUCCUGCACAGCCUGGC